AUACGUAGGGGGCGAGCGUUGUCCGGAAUGAUUGGGCGUAAAGGGCGCGUAGGCGGCCCGGUAAGUCUGGAGUGAAAGUCCUACUUUUAAGGUGGGAAUUGCUUUGGAUACUGUCGGGCUUGAGUGCAGGAGAGGUAAGGGGAAUUCCCGGUGUAGCGGUGAAAUGCGCAGAGAUCGGGAGGAAGACCGGUGGCGAAGGCGAAUUACUGGACGAUAACUGACGCUGAGACACGAAAGCGUGGGGAGCAAACAGGAUUAGAUACCCUGGUAGUCCACGCCCUAAACGAUGAAUGCUAGGUGUAGGGGAGUCAUCUUCUGUGCCGCAGCUAACGCAAUAAGCAUUCCACCUGGGGAGUACGGCCGCAAGGUUGAAACUCAAAUGAAUUGGCGGGG
rnacentral:rRNA from 1 species